GACGAAUGCUGGCUGCGUGCUUAACACAUGCAAGUCGAACGGUGAAGGGGAGCUUGCUCCCCGGAUCAGUGGCGAACGGGUGAGUAACACGUGGGCAACCUGCCCCUCACUCUGGGAUAACUCCGGGAAACCGGGGCUAAUACCGGAUACGACCAGGAUCGACAUCUCUUCUGGUGGAAAGAACUUCGGUGAGAGAUGGGCCCGCGGCCUAUCAGCUUGUUGGUGGGGUAACGGCCCACCAAGGCGACGACGGGUAGCCGGCCUGAGAGGGCGACCGGCCACACUGGGACUGAGACACGGCCCAGACUCCUACGGGAGGCAGCAGUGGGGAAUAUUGCGCAAUGGGCGAAAGCCUGACGCAGCGACGCAGCGUGAGGGACGAAGGCCUUCGGGUUGUAAACCUCUUUCAGCGGGGACGAAGCGAAAGUGACGGUACCCGCAGAAGAAGCACCGGCUAACUACGUGCCAGCCGCCGCGGUAAGAC
rnacentral:rRNA from 1 species